rnacentral:rRNA from 1 species
GUCCACGCUGUAAACGAUGGGUACUAGACGUGGUGGGUCUUGACCCCUGCCGUGUCGACGUUAACACGAUAAGUACCCCGCCUGGGGAGUACGGUCGCAAGACUAAAACUCAAAGGAAUUGACGGGGGCCCGCACAAGCGGUGGAUCAUGUGGUUUAAUUCGAAGCAACGCGCAGAACCUUACCUAGGUUUGACAUCCUCUGAAUAUUUUAGAGAUAGAAUAGGCCCGCAAGGGACAGAGAGACAGGUGCUGCAUGGCUGUCGU